rnacentral:rRNA from 1 species
UACGAACUGUGCGAACGUUAUUCGGAGUCACUGGGCUUAAAGGGUGCGUAGGCGGCUGCCUAAGUCAGGUGUGAAAUCUCUCGGCUCAACCGGGAAACUGCGCUUGAUACUGGGCGGCUCGAGUGAGGUAGGGGUGUGUGGAACUUCCGGUGGAGCGGUGAAAUGUGUAGAUAUCGGAAGGAACACCAAUGGCGAAGGCAGCUCGCUGGGACGGUACUGACGCUGAGACGCGAAAGCGUGGGGAGCAAACAGG